rnacentral:rRNA from 1 species
CAGCAGCCACGGUAAUACAGAGGGUGCGAGCGUUAAUCGGAUUUACUGGGCGUAAAGCGUGCGUAGGCGGCUUCUUAAGUCGGAUGUGAAAUCCCUGAGCUUAACUUAGGAAUUGCAUUUGAUACUGGGAAGCUAGAGUAUGGGAGAGGAUGGUAGAAUUCCAGGUGUAGCGGUGAAAUGCGUAGAGAUCUGGAGGAAUACCGAUGGCGAAGGCAGCCAUCUGGCCUAAUACUGACGCUGAGGUACGAAAGCAUGGGGAGCAAACAGGAUUAGAUACCCCAGUAGUCCCUGUCUCUUAUAC